GUUACUUGUCAGACUUGAGUUUUGCAUGGUAUGCUUUCAGCAUAUUUUUUGAGCAUGCAGUACCUUUGAGGUUAUUCUAGAGAAUAUUCUGGACUGUAUUUGUCAUUGUUUGGAUUGUUUCAAUAAUAAUAAACAUACAUUUGCAUAAAGCAAGCAUAUUUGUCCACUCCCAUGUUGAUAAGAACAUUAAAAACUUGAAAAAUAUCCCUUUAAGGUGCAUUUAUAACAGAUAAAAAAUUGUGAUUAAUAUGUGAUUAAUCACAAAUUAACUAUGGACAGUCAUGCAAUUAAUUGUGAUUAAAUAUUUUAAUUCAUUGACAGCCCUAAAAAACAUGUACCCAUAAUUACAACUCAUGCAUUUAUGUUAUUUUGGCACAUUGAAAUUUACAUUUACUCAUUUGAAAUAAUGACAACUCAUACAGUUAAGUUGAAAUUCAAUAACUCAGUAUGUUAAGUUGGAGUAAAUUUAAGACAGAAGUUGUUAUGACUUAUUGGUCAUACAUUGAUGGUUCAUCAGCUCAGUGUGGUUGUACUGACCUGCCGUGUCUAUAUUUGUUUUUAAAUAUGUGCAACGUCCUGUUUUUGUUUUUAUUUGCAUCAGACUUAUCAUUCUGUACAAUAAAAGGAAUAAAAACCAUUCAAAAAAAUGAAUUUCUGUUUCUUACAGUAAAAAAGAUUGAAUUCCUCCUGUGCUCUGCUGAUGUUUUUCUACACUGUAAAUGAAACAGAAAUAAAGUUUCUUUUUAAAGUACUACAGUACCCAUGAGCCUCAGCAGCCACUGCCAUGGAGAUGACUCCCUCCAAUUAAUUUAAUUUUGUUUUGACCACUAAUAUAAGUUUUGUAGAUGUUUUUUAUUUGAAAAACAGCGAGCCACCUUGUGUCAUGAUUAACAUAGUGCUGCAGUUUUUAACAUCAAAUUUCUGGUGUAAAAUGGUGUUAUUCUGUAUGUUUAGGACCAGAGGUGCAGAAAUAGGUGUCCAGAAGGCAAUUAAUGUGCCAUAUUUUCCUCUGCAGACAAGAGCUGCCUCCAUAUAUACUUCACUUGGCACCAGCACAUAGCAAAAUUCAAUUACAAUAGCCAGGUAUCAACCUGUAGAGGGCGGUCACUAUGCAUAUUUUAACACAAUAUGUAGAAUACAAAUAUUUUACACUCAAAUGUGAAGAUUUAGACCUGAAUCAGUCAACAACACUACUAAAUACUCAUAUACAUUGCUUUUCAACUGGAAAAAAAAGUGGUUUGGGGGUUUAGUUACUUUUUAAGUUUCCACCCCCACACACACUUUUAUACUUUGCCCACCAGGUGUCAAUGUUUUUCCUUUUGAAUGCAGUUUUUCUUGGUUUUGAGGAAAUAAAAACAAAAAUAAAAACAUGUUUCUCCUGCAGUGUAAACACUUGCUACCAUCCAGAGUGGAGGGUGAGUUCAGCAGACAUCACGUCACAGAUGAGAUCCAAGUUCUGAUUGGUCCUGAUUUUGUACAGUUGUCCUCCUAUUCCUUUUUCACAUAUAAAAUAUCUCAUUAAAAACUGUUACAGUUUGAGAAAAUGACUCUAAAAUACAUAUACAACUUCUUUUUCAGCAAUUAAUUUAAUCAAAAACAUACUCAGCCACUAAAUGAAAUACUGUACUACAAUUACCUGCUUGUGAUUUUACACUGUAAGGGUUUUAUUGGAAAUAUAGGGCUCAAAAGGGCAUGUGACUUCGCAAUGCAUUGUGUGUAACCAGCGCCAUUUUUACGGGCAAAUUGUUCUGUUUACAUUGCGUUGGGCCGGGAGAGAGACGUGAAGCGAGAGAUUUAAAUGGACUGGGCAAAUCUUUAAGGACUCGUGGGCAAGCAAACUUUGGGUGGGUGCAGGACCUCCGAAAUUUACGCCUUAAAGAGAAGACCGUCGUCAUUUCAGAGUUUUCACAGUGUGAUGGAGAUUGGAUGGCUUCAUUAAACCAGUUCCUAGAAAACUACUUGUGUUCGUCGUGCCUGUGGGUGGAUUCAUACUGUCAAGGGUAUAUCCCGCCUCUUGCCCAGUGUCAGCUGGGAUAGGCUCCAGCCCCUCCACGACCCUCAACAGGAUAACCAGUUACAGAUAACGACUGAACGAAUGAAGUUCAAUAAUUGGUCUGCUGCCUGGAAACAGAAGUGGAGGUUUGACACUGGGCUAGGCACGUAUGUCCCACCUGAUUCUGUUUCUAUCUCUUCAGAGCAUUUCCUGUUCAUGGUUGUUGCUGUGGCUUGAAUGGCAGGGUAAGUGUACUUGAUGAUGAUGAUGAUUGAUGAUGAGUGACCUAGUAUCAUAUGUGUUGUUUUUUUUAUUUCUCACUGCAGGUGGAAGAGGAGACUUGGUUUACUCAUCAGUUGUCAUCAGGCGACCUGCUGAGACAUCAAUUACUUACUUUGACGGUAGUUGUGUGUAUAGUGAAAUAAAAGUAUAGAAAAAAGUUACCAAACUAAGAUGGCCCAUAAAUGCCACUGUUAUAAUGAUAGUUCCCUUGUAUUUCCUUAGAACAGGUGUUAAUAAUACCAUCAUUUAUUUAUCGAUAAUGUUUCAUAUAAUCAAUCUGAAUCUGCAAAGCAGCAGUUCAUUUCAUUUUCACUGGUUGUCCUCACCUAUACAGUAAGGUUUUAAUGGAAAUGCAUGUGUUUGAGGUACCAGUCAUUCAGCUGGUCAUUUCAACGUAAGUUAAGCUACUGAAAUGGGAUGACAAAUAUCUAUCAAUAGCCAAACAGUUAGGUUUAUUAUCAGAGAAUGAAUGAACACAGCUAGUGAGGUUGCCAUCCAACUUUGUAGUGCAUUACUGCCACCUGCUGGGGUAACUAGGUAGCCCCUUUUCUGAAAUUGUACUCCCCUACAACCUUUGCUAAAGAAGAAACUUCAUAUUUAUCAGAAGUAUUAGGCAUGAUCUGAAGUAUAUACAAAAUAAAAAACAAUACUCCACUGUAUUUAUGACAUUUUUCACAACAGAUAGUGAUUGAGGUAGCUUACUUGUUUCCAUUGUUCUUAUAGCCUACAGUAUCAACUAUCUUACUAUAUAAUGAUGAAAACUCUGUGGGUGUGUCUGUCUGUCUGUCUGUGUGUCUGUUCCACAUUUUUCUCCUGACUGACUUGGUCAAUUCAUGUGAAAUUUGGCACAGUGGUAGAGGGUCAUGGGAGGAUGCGAAUGAAGGAAUAUUACAUCAAUUGGCCAAAGGGGGGCGCUAUAGCAACAGAUUGAAAUUGCAAACUUUGAAUGGACAUAUAUUAUGCCCCAUAUGUCGUAGAGACAUGAAACUUUGCACAGAGAUGCCUCUCCUCAUGGGGAACAAAUUUGCCUCAAGAACCCAUAACUUCCGGUUUAUAGAUUUUCCGCCAUUUUGAAUUUUUUGAAAAACACUUAAAAUCGAUCUCUUCCUAGGAAGUUUGUCUGAUCUGCAUGAAACUCUGUGAACAUAAUCUAGGGACCGAUAUCUAAAGUUCC